GCACCUGAAUGGCCGAAGCUGUUGGAUUUCUGCCUGCUAUGUUUCUAUUACAGAAUAGCUUCCUGUAAUAGAAAUAGAGCAGGCAGAAAUCCAACAGGUCUGGCCA